AAUAAUACUUGGAGUAUUGGAUAUUAAUUUUAAUCUUUACAUUUUUGGCUACUCUAUGAAGGGUCUUUAGAACUCAGAGCUUUUUUUUUUUUUUUUAAGCCAGCAGUUUCUGCUCUGGCUGCAUUACCAGAGCACAGCUGUUUCUAGCAGCUGUUAGCAAUUGGCAUUAAAGUACUAGCUUGCCUAAACCCUGGCUCCAGCCACCCAGCUUUGUCUCCUUCUCCUAACUCUCCUUCCACCUUCCAAACCUCCAGCAGCUGUGAGUUUUUUCUACCCUAGCCUAUUGGUUGUUCUCCUACUGGCCCUGCUGCCUUAAUUUGGGGAACUAAGUUGAGAAGCCGCUCCCCGCCCAUGGCCUGGAGAGCAGCCCAAUCAGCUUGAUCAGCCAUUCUUGCUCACAGCUUGGCCAAACCCCAGAUAAUUGGCAGGCCAACUCCUCCCCAACUGCCUUGAACUGCUACCUCAGCCACGGCACCCUAGGCCCACCACAGUGCUGCAAUUGCCUUCUGCAGCUGCCACAACCCUCAGCUUUCUGCUGCUUCUGAUGACCUGUUCCUGUUCUAGCUGAACACCAGAUGAGACAACAAAGAGUGGUGCCAUGAACAUGAUGAGAAAGCCUGAAACAACACACAAAGAACAAAGACCACGCAACUUACCAUUGGGUGAGAGGGCAGAACAAGACGUAAUGGGUUUCUUUACAACUGGAGACUGGAAAAUUUAGGCUUGAUGAUAGGGAAAAACUUACCAACUGUUAGUUUCCAAAAC
rnacentral:lncRNA from 1 species